GCCUGCCCAGUGACUAUGGGUUCAACGGCCGCGGUAUUUUGACCGUGCAAAGGUAGCGCAAUCACUUGUCUUUUAAAUGAAGACCCGUAUGAAUGGCUAAACGAGGGCUUAACUGUCUCCCCUUUCCAGUCAGUGAAAUUGAUCUAUCCGUGCAGAAGCGGGUAUAAAUCUACAAGACGAGAAGACCCUUUGGAGCUUAAGGUACAGACCCAAUCGCGUUAAACAACUUAUUAAAGAGCAUAAACUUAGCGCAUCAUGGAAUCUUACCUUCGGUUGGGGCGACCACGGAGGAAAAAACAGCCUCCGAGUGGACCGGGAAUAAAUCCUAAAGUUAAGAGCAACACCUCUAAACCACAGAACAUCUGACCAAGCAUGAUCCGGACAUAAGUCCGAUCAACGAACCAAGUUACCCUAGGGAUAACAGCGCAAUCCUCUCCCAGAGUCCAUAUCGACGAGGGGGUUUACGACCU
rnacentral:rRNA from 1 species